UAUUCUAGACGCAGGUGACUUUUUGAA
rnacentral:piRNA from 1 species